rnacentral:rRNA from 1 species
AAGACUGGGAUAACUUCGGGAAACCGGAGCUAAUACCGGAUAAUAUUUUGAACCGCAUGGUUCAAAAGUGAAAGACGGUCUUGCUGUCACUUAUAGAUGGAUCCGCGCUGCAUUAGCUAGUUGGUAAGGUAACGGCUUACCAAGGCAACGAUGCAUAGCCGACCUGAGAGGGUGAUCGGCCACACUGGAACUGAGACACGGUCCAGACUCCUACGGGAGGCAGCAGUAGGGAAUCUUCCGCAAUGGGCGAAAGCCUGACGGAGCAACGCCGCGUGAGUGAUGAAGGUCUUCGGAUCGUAAAACUCUGUUAUUAGGGAAGAACAUAUGUGUAAGUAACUGUGCACAUCUUGA